GACGAACGCUGGCGGCGUGCCUAAUACAUGCAAGUCGAACGAGAGCGCCCGGUGCUUGCGCUGGUCAAUCUAGUGGCGAACGGGUGAGUCACGCGUGGGUACCCUGCUUGUCAGUGGGGGAUCAUAUCCGGACACGGGUGCUAACACCGUAUAGGCUCCCGCAGCGCAUGGUUUGAAGGGGAAAAGAGGCGCAAGCUUCUGCUGAUGGAUGGUACCGGGGUGCAUUAGCUAGUUGGUGAGGUAACGGCUCACCCAGGCCGUGAUGCAUAGCCGACCUGAGGGGGUGAUCGGCCACAUGGGGACUGAGACACGGCCCAAACGCCUGCGGGAGGCAGCAGUAGGGAAUCUUCCGCAAUGGACGCAAGUCUGACGGAGCAACGCCGCGUGAGUGAAGAAGGUUUUCGGAUCGGAAAACUCUGUUGUUAGAGAAGAACAAGUGCUAGAGUAACUGUUAGCGCCGUGACGGUAUCUAACCAGAAAGCCACGGCUAACUACGUG
rnacentral:rRNA from 1 species